rnacentral:rRNA from 1 species
AUGGAGGCGUCGCUGACCGCGGCCGCCGCCGCUACCUCGUCGUUUCCGCCGCAAAUCCGUCGCCGAAUCAUCAAAUUCAACCCGCUCGUGCUCCCUAGGCGACCCCAAUUCGGGGACUCCAAGAUCCGGACCGCCAACUUCCGGGGACACCUGGCUGCGGCCUCGGCAUCCACGCCGCCGCCGCCGGGAGGCGGCCUGUACUCGGCGGCGACGUACGAACUGACGCCGGAUAACGUCGACCGCGUCCUCGACGACGUGCGCCCCUACCUCAUCUCCGACGGCGGCGACGUCGCCGUCGUGUCCGUAGAGGACGGCGUCGUCUCCCUUAGGCUUGAAGGGGCGUGCAGCAGUUGUCCCAGCUCGACGACGACGAUGAACAUGGGCAUCGAGCGAGUGCUCAAGGAGAAGUUCGGUGACGCCAUCAAGGACAUCCGCCAGGUGUUCGACGGGGACCAGCAGCCGGAGGAGACGACGCCUGAGGCGGUGAACCGGCACCUGGACAUACUGCGGCCGGCGAUCGCGAACUACGGCGGGAGUGUUGAGGUGCUUGCCGUUGACGGCGAGGACUGCCUGGUUAAGUAUGACGGCCCAGAGUCCAUCGGGAGUGGAGUGAAGGCAGCCAUCAAGGAGAAGUUCCCCGACAUCACGAACGUGGUGUUCACCCAGUGA